CCCAAUAUUAGGAUCAUUUUUCUUUACAGUAAGUGUUAAAUUACUUUUGAAAGACUAUUUAGAAGACUUAGGAGUUAUUUGCCUGUUUUUACAGAUUUUAUAUCUGGGCUGGUAUUACUAGCCUGCAUGCCCAUCUCCUCGACAUGCAUGUCUAUCUCCUUGGCAAGUGAAAUUGUCUGGUGGUAGAGACGAUUUUAAAAGAACAGCACAUUAUAAAGUGAUCAGAUUUUCUCACAGUGAAAAAUUCUAUGUUCCUUUUUAAUUACAGCAGUUCAGAUGUCGAUAUAGAAUUGAAAAAGGGCUUCUUCCUGAACAUCCAAGGGCAGGGCCAACUGAUGAUGUUGAAGAAUGAAGACAUUUUAGCAUGGAUUACUAGUAUAGAUUAUAGUAUCUCUUGUCCUUUAUGAUGUCUUUCUGAAAGUUAUUGGUGAAUACAAAUUGAGCUGUGAUCCCUCAACGUGGCCAACAACAUGCUCCACCAAAUACCUGAGCACAAUAUAGAAAGUGCACAUACAUGCAGGGAUGGAUUUACUGGGGGGGGGGGUGUGCACCCCCUAGCCCUGGCCAGAGGGGGUGCAGGAGGGUGCUAUUUUUUAUGAUAAAGCAAAAAAGACAAAAUGAGAUACAAUAAUUUGAGUAAUAACAUGAUGAUAAGUGAACUGUGAACAACAAUUACAAUUCAAAUACAGCAGUUGAUGGGUGGGCGGCACACAUGACCGACACAAUUCGGCAGUUGGCACCAGAGCACCCCCCUACCAGAUCAUGCUGGAUCCAUCCCUGCAUACAUGUACUGUAUCAUAUUUAAUUAAUGCUUGAGCAUAUUUGUUCAAAUUUAUUGACAUUAAUAAAUAAUUAAAUUAUGUUUGUUAUAGUAGUGUAGAUUUUGCACCAGCCACGCUUGAAAUUAGACGUCAGCCACUUUUUAACUAGAUGGCCAUGGAUGACCUUUAAAGAAAUUGUUUUCUUUAUUAAACAGCAACUUGC